GUCUUGCUUCCUGUAGGUGAUUGAUCAUCCAAACGUUUUUCCUCUGUUUUGCUAGAUCAAGUGGUGAUUCUCCCUUUAUAUUCUGAGCAUCAACAUUAGCUCCAGCUUCUAACAGAAGACUAAUAACUGUAGUAUUUCCUGCUAGCACAGCCCAGUGCAACGCUGUGUUUUUGUGAUACUUGUCUCCAAGAUUAACAGAAACGUUAAACGUGAGUAGUAAUCGGGUUGGAUCCACACUAUGUGUUCUGUAAGCUGCCCACAUAAGAGGUGUCAUUCCAUUUUGAUCCAUCAUAUCUACAUCCUGUCCCUUUGCUAUCAGGUAUGCAACAAUUGAAGUAUGUCCAAACUGGGCAGCCAAAUGAAUACAGCUACAUCCUUCUCCAUCUAUUAGCG
rnacentral:lncRNA from 1 species